GCGCACGGCGUCAGCGUCUAGACGCAGGGAAGAAUAUUUCUCAGCCCUCCGUUCUCAAGACAGAUGAGUGCUUUAGAAAGAGGACUCUGCAGCGGUGAGGAGGAUGGAAUGACAGGCAAAGCACGCAGGACCAGGAGAUGGCUUCGUUCCCUCAAUCACUCAUCCAAAGACGUUUAAUGAGCACCUAUUGUGUGUCAGGCAUUGUACCGGGCAAUGGGGAUAUCGUAGUCAGUAAUAAGUGAGGAGAGAUGAGUUCAUUUGUGAGAGGCUCUGACCAGUGGAAUCAGAGGAAGGGAGUUCCCCUGGGUGGGCCAGGUUCAAAGACAUUUUGGAAGUAGAAUCUGCAGAACAUGAUGAUCUUUUGGAAACAGGGCAGGGACGUGAAUGAGCACGUAAUGUCCCCAUGGGUUUGUCUUUCCGAAGGUUUAAAAUCCUCAAGAAUAAGGAACAUAGGCAUGUGUCGUAACGGUCUCCACAGUGGGGGAGUAUUAUGUUAGUGCACCUGCAUGUUAACUCUGCUCAUGAAGGGG
rnacentral:lncRNA from 10 species